CCUGCCCCAGAGGAUCUUCCCAACCCAGGGACUGACCCCAGGUCUCCUGCAUUGCAAGUGGAUUCUUCACUGCCUGAAGCGCACCUCCAAAUCAGGUGGUGAGCUGUGAUGCUCUGCUCUGCUCAGAAGCCCAGGAAGAAAAGCCUUUCCCAGUAGGGUCCAGUCUCACCAUCCGUCAUAUCUCACGGACCAGAAUUGCUCUCCUACCAAACACCUACCCAGUCAUCAGGAUGACCUGGGCUCAGAGCAAUCAAGUUUCACCCUGCAUCCUACAGAAAAGAGGUAGGUACUGGAAUUAACCAGAGUUCCGUCAGUUUGGAAGAGGGGGUUGGUGACUGUCAGAGAGGCUACCCCAGCAGCUGCCGAAAAUGAUGUAGGAAAGAGAAUUUCCUUUCAGGAGGAAUGGGAGCAGAGUGAGCUAUGAAUUUAUAUCUCUCUCACUCUCCCUAACAUCUAUUAUAUUUGUCUAUCAUCUAUAUCUAUCUAUCCAUUCUGACUAUUCAACCACCUAACCAACCCUCCAUCCAUCCUACGUAUGUAGGUAUGCAUGUAUUUACCUAUUCUUUCUAUCUCUCUAUCUGUCUCUCUAUCUAUCAUCUCUAUCAUCUACCUACCUACAUACCUACCUAUCUGUACACACAUACAGAUUUCAAAUACCUGUACUUUUGACUUCUUAGAAUUAAGAGGUAUGACUUUUACUUCUUUUUUUUUAACUUCCAUGAUUUUCAUUUUCAUCAAAGUGCCCCAGGUCUGGCAGGGUUAGAAGGAGGAACGCUGAUGCAACCAGUUCAGCUGGCAUUCCCCUCACCUCCUCGGAGCAUGCUGUGGCCCUGGGGCCCAGUUUGCUCACCUCCUCUCUUCUGGGCCAGCUCACCCUGGGCAGCAGAGGGGAGGAGAAGAAUUUUGAACCCACCUCAAGCUGUGCCAGUGGGGAGAUCAAAGUCCAUAAAGUGAAUGUAUUUCAUAAACGGUGAACUUCUGCGAAGAAACCAAACUCAUUUAAGCCAAAGCCAAGGGGAGUGUGAUGCUUUGACUGAUGAAUGAAAGGAAGAAAGAAGCUUGUUUCCCCUGUGUGUUAUUUGGGUUCUUUUUUUUUGUUUUUAGAAGACUGUUUAUUAAAGGCCUCACUU